rnacentral:rRNA from 1 species
AAACCAACCGGGAUUGCCUUAGUAACGGCGAGUGAAGCGGCAAAAAGCUCAAAUUUGAAAUCUGGUACCUUCGGUGCCCGAGUUGUAAUUUGGAGAGGGCAACUUUGGGGCCGUUCCUUGUCUAUGUUCCUUGGAAUAGGACGUCAUAGAGGGUGAGAAUCCCGUGUGGCGAGGAGUGCGGUUCUUUGUAAAGUGCCUUCGAAGAGUCGAGUUGUUUGGGAAUGCAGCUCUAAGUGGGUGGUAAAUUCCAUCUAAAGCUAAAUAUUGGCGAGAGACCGAUAGCGAACAAGUACAGUGAUGGAAAGAUAAAAGAACUUUGAAAAGAGAGUGAAAAAGUACGUGAAAUUGUUGAAAGGGAAGGGCAUUUGAUCAGACAUGGUGUUUGUGCCCUCUGCUCCUUGUGGGUAGGGGAAUCUCGCAUUUCACUGGGCCAGCAUCGGUUCGGAUGGCAAGAUAAUGGCUUGGGAACGUGGCACUCCUCGGAGUGUGUUAUAGCCCUUGUUGAUGUUGCCU